rnacentral:rRNA from 1 species
CCUACGGGUGGCUGCAGUGGGGAAUAUUGCACAAUGGGGGAAACCCUGAUGCAGCCAUGCCGCGUGUGUGAAGAAGGCCUUCGGGUUGUAAAGCACUUUCAGUAGGGAGGAAGGGUUGAUGUCUAAUACGCAUCAACAUUGACGUUACCUACAGAAGAAGCACCGGCUAACUCCGUGCCAGCAGCCGCGGUAAUACGGAGGGUGCAAGCGUUAAUCGGAAUAACUGGGCGGGUUGGAUAAGCAGGCGGUUAAAUCCCCGGGCUCAACCUGGGAACUGCAUUUGAAACUGUCUGACUAGAGUCUUGUAGAGGGGGGUAGAAUUCCAGGUGUAGCGGUGAAAUGCGUAGAGAUCUGGAGGAAUACCGGUGGCGAAGGCGGCCCCCUGGACAAAGACUGACGCUCAGGUGCGAAAGCGUGGGGAGCAAACAGGAUUAGAUACCCGAGUAGUC